AUUGAACGCUGGCGGCAGGCCUAACACAUGCAAGUCGAACGGUAACAGGAAGAAGCUUGCUUCUUUGCUGACGAGUGGCGGACGGGUGAGUAAUGUCUGGGAAACUGCCUGAUGGAGGGGGAUAACUACUGGAAACGGUAGCUAAUACCGCAUAACGUCGCAAGACCAAAGAGGGGGACCUUCGGGCCUCUUGCCAUCGGAUGUGCCCAGAUGGGAUUAGCUAGUAGGUGGGGUAACGGCUCACCUAGGCGACGAUCCCUAGCUGGUCUGAGAGGAUGACCAGCCACACUGGAACUGAGACACGGUCCAGACUCUUACGGGAGGCAGCAGUGGGGAAUAUUGCACAAAGGGCGCAAGCCUGAUGCAGCCAUGCCGCGUGUAUGAAGAAGGCCUUCGGGUUGUAAAGUACUUUCAGCGGGGAGGAAGGGAGUAAAGUUAAUACCUUUACUCAUUGACGUUACCCGCAGAAGAAGCACCGGCUAACUCCGUG
rnacentral:rRNA from 1 species